UACGUAGGGCGCAAGCGUUAUCCGGAAUUAUUGGGCGUAAAGAGCUCGUAGGCGGUUUGUCGCGUCUGCUGUGAAAACUCGGGGCUUAACUCCGGGCCUGCAGUGGGUACGGGCAGACUAGAGUGCGGUAGGGGAGACUGGAAUUCCUGGUGUAGCGGUGAAAUGCGCAGAUAUCUGGAGGAACACCGGUGGCGAAGGCGGAUCUCUGGGCCUUACCUGACGCUGAGGCGCGAAAGCUAGGGGAGCGAACAGG
rnacentral:rRNA from 1 species